AACGGCGAGUGAAGCGGCAGAAGCUCAAAUUUGAAAUCUGGCCCCUCUGGGGGUCCGAGUUGUAAUUUGCAGAGGACACUUCGGGUGCGGCUGCGGUCUAAGUCCCCUGGAACGGGGCGUCGUAGAGGGUGAGAAUCCCGUCUGGGACCGUGGACCUGCCCCGUGUGAAGUUCCUUCGACGAGUCGAGUUGUUUGGGAAUGCAGCUCUAAGUGGGUGGUAAAUUUCAUCUAAAGCUAAAUACUGGCGGGAGACCGAUAGCGCACAAGUAGAGUGAUCGAAAGGUUAAAAGCACCUUGAAAAGGGAGUUAAACAGCACGUGAAAUUGUUGAAAGGGAAGCGCUGGCAGCCAGACAGGAACCCGGGGGCUCAGCGGGCAUGCGUGCCCGUGCACUCCCCCGCGGUUCCGGCCAGCAUCAGUUUUGGCGGCCGGUCAAAGGCCCCGGGAAGGUAUCGUCCUCCGGGACGACUUACAGCCCGGGGUGCAAUGCGGCCAGUCGGGACUGAGGAACGCGCUCCGGCACGGAUGCUGGCGUAAUGGCUGUCAGCGGCCCGUCUUGAAACACGGACCAAGGAGUCUAACAACCACGCGAGUGUUCGGGUGUCAAACCCGUGCGCGCAGUGAAAGCGAACGGAGGUGGGAGCCCCUCGUGGGUGCACCAUCGACCGAUCCUGAUGUCUUCGGAUGGAUUUGAGUAAGAGCGUGGCUGUUGGGACCCGAAAGAUGGUGAACUAUGCCUGAAUAGGGUGAAGCCAGAGGAAACUCUGGUGGAGGCUCGCAGCGGUUCUGACGUGCAAAUCGAUCGUCAAAUUU
rnacentral:rRNA from 1 species